GAUGAACGCUAGCGGCAGGCCUAAUACAUGCAAGUCGAACGGUGUAGCAAUACACAGUGGCGCACGGGUGCGUAACACGUAUGCAACCUACCUAUUAUUGGGGGAUAGCCUUUGGAAACGGAGAUUAAUACCGCAUAAGACAGUAACAUGGCAUCAUGUAGCUGUUAAAGUUUCGGCGAUGAUAGAUGGGCAUGCGUCCAAUUAGUUAGUUGGUGAGGUAAUGGCUCACCAAGACGAUGAUUGGUAGGGGAUCUGAGAGGAUAAUCCCCCACACUGGCACUGAGAUACGGGCCAGACUCCUAUGGGAGGCAGCAGUAGGGAAUAUUGGGCAAUGGACGGAAGUCUGACCCAGCCAUGCCGCGUGCAGGAUGAAGGCGUUAUGCGUUGUAAACUGCUUUUUUAUAGGAAGAAGGAGACCUUGCGAGGUUUGGUGACGGUACUAUAAGAAUAAGCACCGGCUAACUCCGUGCCAGCAGCCGCAGUAACAC
rnacentral:rRNA from 1 species